UUUCUCAUUUCGUCUUUCCUCUCCUUCUCAUAUGUAAUCUCUUCUCACUUCAAGGCCCCUCGUCUGUGCAAUAUAUACUAGUUUAGUGGAUGAGUAAUCGAGCUCAAAAUGAAGCAAAACAGAAAACAAAAACAACCUAUAUUGAGCAGCAGUUUUCAUAUUUGAACCCCUCAUUUUUAAUCUAAUUUGUAAUACUUUUUACUUCUUAGUUCCUCUUAACUCAAGCCUCCUCACUUAUAUCUUUAUUUGGUUGUCCAGUGGAAGGUAUGGAGGUGGAAAUGAUGAUUUGGAGCAAGAAAACUUCUAAGUUAGUUGCUGCACAUGCAAGAAACUAACCCUUCUAUUUUAGUUUCUGUUUUGGUGUCUUGUGUCGCAAAUCGUUUCAUCUCUCUCCUUUCGUCAAUGAUUAUCUUUAACCUAAUUAGUCCUCUAUAUUUGCUUAUUAAACCACUAGAAGAUGUGAAGUGUAGUAUGUGAGCCUCAACCUUAUACACAAUCAGUUUAUCUAGAUCUUUUAGCAAACUGCUAUGCAUAUGGAUCUUAGAUAGAAUUUUGUUUAGGCAAAUGUUUCACUUUCUUUUCCUUCAUGCCUUGUUUCCAUGAAUCAUGUAGAUAAGUGCUAUAUGUAGGGAUGGAACUUCUUAUCAAAUGAAAAGACCUCAAACCACUAGCUUUCCUAGCAAAAACUGGCUAUCAGCCGCUGCAAUCAAGGUGGAUAGCAACACAUAGUAGAAGCAAAACAGCAGCAAGUUGGUUCUUUCCUCAAGCUCUUAUUUUUAUUUUUUCAAGCAACCACUAUUACACAAUGAAAAUGAAGCCAAAGCUCAAGCAGCAGGUCGUCUGUCUUCUACAGUAACUACAAGUUCGUUUAGUAGAGGCUCCACAUGCAAAGCUGAAAUGUGGAAAAGGAUGAUUCUCUCUAGCUAUUUUGUCUUUACUUGUAUUUUUCAAUUUAUUAUUCUUUUAUUCUUGAUCAAUAUUCUGUUGAUUAGCUGGAUGCUAUUUUUAGAAUAGGAAUUUUGUUAGUUUUUAGGGUGGCAGAGAGUAUAUGACACCCUCUCUCACGUCUUCUUAACAAUUCAAUUCCAGUGGAAUAUACAUUUUCUCUUCUUCCA